AGUGCUUGCACUCAAUUGGAAAGAGGAGUGGCGGACGGGUGAGUAACACGUGGGUAACCUACCCAUCAGAGGGGGAUAACACUUGGAAACAGGUGCUAAUACCGCAUAACAGUUUAUGCCGCAUGGCAUAAGAGUGAAAGGCGCUUUCGGGUGUCGCUGAUGGAUGGACCCGCGGUGCAUUAGCUAGUUGGUGAGGUAACGGCUCACCAAGGCCACGAUGCAUAGCCGACCUGAGAGGGUGAUCGGCCACACUGGGACUGAGACACGGCCCAGACUCCUACGGGAGGCAGCAGUAGGGAAUCUUCGGCAAUGGACGAGAGUCUGACCGAGCAACGCCGCGUGAGUGAAGAAGGUUUUCGGAUCGUAAAACUCUGUUGUUAGAGAAGAACAAGGACGUUAGUAACUGAACGUCCCCUGACGGUUUCUAACCAGAAAGCCACGGCUAAC
rnacentral:rRNA from 1 species